CCCAGCCCUGCGCCCGCCCCGCUCGCCCCCGGCCCUGCCACCAUGGAGAUCCCCGGCAAAGACCACCCCGCUGCCCCGGGCUCGGCUGAGUCCUACACCAGCCGCCCCUCGGACUCGGAUGUGUCGCUGGAGGAGGACCGCGAGGCGCUGCGCAAGGAGGCCGAGCGCCAGGCCAUGGCUCAGCUGGAGAAAGCCAAGACGAAGCCGGUGGCGUUCGCCGUGCGCACCAACGUGGGCUACAACCCCUCGGCCACCGACGACGUCCCCGUGCAGGGCAUGGCCAUCUGCUUCGAGCCCAAGGACUUCCUGCACAUCAAGGAGAAGUACAACAACGACUGGUGGAUCGGGCGGCUGGUGAAGGAGGGCUGCGAGGUGGGCUUCAUCCCCAGCCCCGUCAAGCUGGAGAACAUGCGGCUGCUGCAGGAGCAGAAGAUGAGGCAGAACCGCCUGAGCUCGAGCAAAUCCACAGACAACUCCAGCUCCAGCCUGGGCGAUGUGGUGACGGGGACCCGCCGGCCCACGCCCCCGGCCAGCGGUGGCCUGGACAUGCCUAGCUUUGCCUUUGAUCCCGAUGAGUUAGAGGAGGAGGAGGCCAUGGAGACCCAGCGCUCCCCUAAGAGUAGCGUGAGCAGUGUCACCACCCCCCCCGCCCACAACAAGCGCAUCCCCUUCUUUAGGAAGACCGAGCACGUGCCCCCGUACGACGUGGUGCCCUCCAUGCGCCCCAUCAUCCUCGUGGGGCCGUCGCUGAAGGGCUACGAGGUCACGGACAUGAUGCAGAAAGCGCUGUUCGACUUCCUGAAGCAUCGCUUUGAUGGCAGGAUCUCCAUCACGCGGGUGACAGCCGACAUCUCCCUGGCCAAGCGCUCCGUGCUCAACAACCCCAGCAAGCACACGAUCAUCGAGCGCUCCAGCACCCGCUCCAGCCUGGCCGAGGUCCAGAGUGAGACCGAGCGGAUUUUCGAGCUGGCCCGGACGCUGCAGUUGGUGGCCCUGGACGCCGACACCAUCAACCACCCGGCCCAGCUGGCCAAGACCUCCCUGGCCCCCAUCAUCGUCUACAUCAAAAUCACCUCCCCCAAGGUGCUGCAGAGGCUGGUGAAGUCCAGGGGGAAGUCCCAGGCCAAGCACCUCAACGUGCAGAUGGUGGCCUCGGACAAGCUGGCACAGUGCCCGCCUGAGAUGUUUGACAUCGUGCUGGACGAGAACCAGCUGGAGGAGGCCUGCGAGCACCUGGCCGAGUACCUGGAGGCUUACUGGAAGGCCACGCACCCGCCCAGCAGCAACCCCCCGAACCCGCUGCUGAACCGCACCAUGGCCACGGCCGCGCUGGCCGCCAGCCCCGCGCCCGUCUCCAACCUCCAGGUACAGGUGCUCACCUCCCUGCGCAGGAACCUCAACCUCUGGGGCCGCGAGGCCACCCCCAGCCCCCCCGGACCCCUCGAGGAGCACGCGCUGUGAGGCGGCGGAGGGGACGGCGGGGACAUCCCCACCCCCCCCCAAAGCUCGGGGGACCCCGGGAUCGGGGAUGGUGUCACAGCCCCCCCAGGUGUGGGGCGGUCCCUGAGGUCACCUGCUCCAGGGGGAUGUUCUGCACUCUGGGGUUGGGGGCUCCAGGGGAACCACGGUCCCUCGGGUGUGGGAUUGUCCCUGGGGUCACCUGUCCUGGGGUCAGGGUCACCCUGAGGGACUGUGACCCUCCCCAGGUGUGGGAUUGUCCCUGGGGUCACCUGUCCUGGGGUCAGGGUCACCUCAGGGGACUGUGACCCUCCCCAGGUGUGGGAUUGUCCCUGGGGUCACCUGUCCUGGGGUCAGGGUCACCUCAGGGGACCGUGGUCCCGAGGUGUGGGGUCACCUGGGGACCCUGGGAUUAGGGCAGCCCAUGGGAUUGGGGUCACCAUGGGGAAUCACGGCCCCCCCAGGAGUGGGACCAUCCCUGGGAUUGUUCCUUUGGGAACCUCUGCCCCCCUCCCCGGGGUGCUGCAGGCCCCUGGUGUGGGACAGGUCCUGGGAUUGGGGUCACCCCAGGGACCUGCUCCCGUUCCUGGAUUGGGGCUGGCACUGGGAUCAGCCCUGGGGAUCUCUCCCUGCCUGGGACUGGUGCCAGCCCCACAUUCGGGGUCUCCUGGGAAUCUGUGCCCCCUCCAAGGCCUGGAGCUGCCCUGGGGAUUGGGAACCCCCAGGAUCUGUCCCCUUCAAGACCCACCCUGUGCCUUCGGGGGGGAUGCCGGGGCUCCAGACCCCCAUUCCCACCUUUCUGGGGGAGCCGUGGUGGGGGCGAGGCUUUGGGGGUGUCCUGGGCGGGCCGGGUGGGGGGCACAGCCCCAUCCCACCGUGGCCACUGCGGUGCUGAGCCGGGGGUCCUGCAGCCACCCCCGGGGCUGGGGACAGAGGGGGGACACGUCUCCUGUGUCGUCUGUCGCUAAACCUUCCAGCGAGCCGGACUGGCGCUCCACGCCCUGCCCUGCAGCCCCCCACCCCGCAUCCCCCUCCCCAUUCCCGGUGUCCCCCCCGGCUGUGCCCCGCUGCCACCGUGUCACCGGCAGGGCUGGGCAGCAGCGUGAGCCCCCCUCCAUCCCCGGCUGCCCCCCACUAACCCCCCACUAACCCCCCGCCCGU